AUUGAACGCUAGCGGCAGGCCUAACACAUGCAAGUCGAACGAGUGGCGGACGGGUGAGUAAUGUCUGGGAAACUGCCCGAUAGAGGGGGAUAACUACUGGAAAGGGUCGCUAAUACCGCAUACCAUCGGAUCGGCCCAGAUGGGAUUAGCUAGUCGGUGGGGUAAGGGCUCACCUAGGCUACGAUCCCUAGCUGGUCUGAGAGGACGACCCGCCACACUGGAACUGAGACACGGCCCAGACUCCUACGGGAGGCAGCAGUGGGAAGUUUGCGCAAUGGGCGCAAUCCUUGUUCAGCCAUGCCGGGUGUAUGGAUGAGGCCUUCGGGUUGUAAAAUACUUUCUGCGAGGGGGCGUUACGCGCAGAAGAAGCACCGGCUAACUCCGUGCCAGCAGCCGCGGUAAUAC
rnacentral:rRNA from 1 species